UCGGAUGUGGUGUAUGCAACACGGCGGGUUCAUCUCACUCAAAAUAUUCACCAGGUAACCCCGCAGAACGGGGUUCGACUCCCCGUGUCCGAA